UGCGUAGGCGGUCGGGUAAGUCUGACGUGAAAUCUUCAAGCUCAACUUGGAAACUGCGUCGGAUACUAUUCGGCUAGAGGAAUGGAGGGGAGACUGGAAUACUUGGUGUAGCAGUGAAAUGCGUAGAUAUCAAGUGGAACACCAGUGGCGAAGGCGAGUCUCUGGACAUUUCCUGACGCUGAGGCAAACCAACGGGGAAGGCAAAACCGGGA
rnacentral:rRNA from 1 species